rnacentral:rRNA from 1 species
GGCUAAACGCUGGCGGCGUGUCUUAGCCAUGCAAGUCGAGCGGACUUAUGGGGUAACUUAUAAGUCAGCGGCGGACGGCGGAGUAACACGUAGCUAACCUACCCUCUGGACGGGGAUAACCUACCGAAAGGUGGGCUAAUACCCGAUGUAGUCAUCCUGUAUAGGGGUGAUGAAAGGUGGGCUUCUGUUUACAAGCUCAUGCUGGAGGAGGGGGCUGCGGCCUAUCAGGUAGUUGGUAGGGUAAUAGCCUACCAAGCCGAUGACGGGUAGCCGGCCUGAGAGGGUGACCGGCCCGAGGGGCACUGAGAUACGGGUCCCACUCCUACGGGAGGCAGCAGGCUAGAAAUUUGGGCAAUGGGGGAAACCCUGACCCAGUGACGCCGCGUGCAGGAAGGAGCCCUUCGGGGUGUAAACUGCUGUCGUGUAGGGAGAAGGGUACUAAGGUGAACAAUCUUAGUACUUGACGGUACUACAGGAGGAAGCCCAGGCUAACCUCGUG